CUCAACUUCGGGAUUGCCAUUGAAACUGUUUCACUUGAGUGUAGUCGAGGACGGCGGAAUGAGUUGUGUAGCGGUGAAAUGCAUAGAUAUAACUCAGAACACCGAUUGCGAAGGCAGCUGUCCAGACUAUAACUGACGCUGAGGCACGAAAGCGUGGGGAGCGAACAGGAUUAGAUACCCUGGUAGUCCACGCUGUAAACGAUGACCACUCGUUGUUGGCUACAAGGUAGUCAGUGACUAAGGGAAACCGUUAAGUGAUCCACCUGGGGAGUACGUCGGCAACGAUGAAACUCAAAGGAAUUGACGGGGGCCCGCACAAGCGGAGGAACAUGUGGUUUAAUUCGAUGAUACGCGAGGAACCUCACCUGGGCUUAAAUGCAGGCUGCAUUCCCGUGAAAGCGGGAUUUCCUACGGGACUG
rnacentral:rRNA from 1 species